CAAUAGCACUCAUCAUAAAUAGAAACAUUUAAAGUUAAUACAUGUGAUCUCUAUGGGUGUCAGCUGAUAUCACUCAUAGAUAAUCGGUGGGAGGAUCAGAAGCAUAAAACCGCUUGGAACAUCCUUCGUUUUGAGGACAACGUCAUGGUAAAGGGAGUGCACUGCAUUUUGCUGUACUUAUCAGUUUGAACACAUUACGAGCAAGUACUAAAGCCCACCAGGUUUGAAAGAGUCUAAAGAUAAGGUCUCCAUGGCAACACUAAACAGGAUAUUUGGACUGUCCUCUUCCGCCGAGCCUUCGGGCCUUGAUGUUGGGGAAAAUGUCUCGGAUGAUCUUCCCAAAGUUGGCCGCGCUCAGUGGGUGAUGUUGCAGGUUGUCACAGUAGCGCCUGGACAGGACACAGACAGUAUGCUCUCUGCAGGUCAUUCACCAGGUCCCCCCGUGUGGUUCUGGGAUUUUUGCUCGCCAUUCUCAUGACCAUUUUGACCCCACGGGAUGAGAUCUUGCGUGAAGCCCCAGAUCGAAGGAGAUUAUCAGUGGUCUUGUAUGUCUUCCAUUUUCUGAUAAUUGCUCCUACAGUUGAUUUUUUCACACCAAGCUGCUUGCCUGUUGUAGAGUCACUCUUCCCAGUCUGGUGCAGGUCUACAAUUCUUUUCCUGGGGUCCUUCGACAGCUCUUUGGUCUUGGCCAUAGUGGAGUUUGGAGUCUGACUGUUUGAGGCUGUGGAAAGGUGUCUUUUAUACAGAUAACGAGUUCAAAGAAGUGCCAUUAAUACAGGUAACGAGUGGAGGACAGAAGAACUUUUUAAAGAAGUUACAGGUCUGUGAGGGCCAGAGAUCUUCCUUGUUUGAAGUGACCAAAUACUUAUUUUCCACCAUAAUUUACAAAUAAAUUCUCUAAAAUUCCUACAAUGUGAAUUCCUGGUUUUGUUUUUCACAUUCUGUCUCUCACAGUUGAAGUGUACCUAUGAUGAAAAUUACAGACCUCUGUCAUCAUUUUAAGUGGGAGAACUUGGACAAUUGGUGGCUGACUAAAUACUUUUUUGCCCCAUUGUAAUGUAGUAACAGACACAUUUGUAACAAUAUGUAUUAUGUACAAUAUUUACCCUAUUUUAAUCAUUGCCGAAACUAAUUAUUGUGUUCAUUUUUUUUCGUUUCCACAGCAGCGCAUGUCUGACUUCACGCAGCAAAUGUGUGUUCCUACUUCCGGAUACAAGACGCACGUGUGUGUUCUAAUAAUUGCAGACUUGGUAACAAACAACAAAGAUGACUAUAUUUGGACAAAUGAGGAUUGGAAACCUUAUACUUUUGAAUCUGGAUCUAUGGAGGAUGAACUACUGCUUCUAGAAGCCACUGCCAAGGAAGAGUGAGACGCUGAAAGAGUGAAAGUGAAACGAAGCUGAAAAAUGUGGAACUUGAAGCCAUGCUAUUUCGACAUAAAUUGAUUGCUUAUUCAAAACCAACAGGAAAUGUCCCCGGCCAGAUAAGAUGAACAACUGUCCAUCAAGUGAGUUACACUGUAAAUAUUGAUCAUAAUACUCGCAGCAUGUCCUGCGUAUUAUUACAACUACAGUACAUUCCCUCUCUGUGUACAAACAUGAAAUGCGGGCUAAUACUUUACAAAUACUGCUAUAUGAUUGGUCAUGUUUUUGAGUCAGUAAAGACUGGUGUCCUA